rnacentral:rRNA from 1 species
GCAGUCGAACGAUGAUCCGGUGCUUGCACCGGGGAUUAGUGGCGAACGGGUGAGUAACACGUGAGUAACCUGCCCUUGACUCUGGGAUAAGCCUGGGAAACCGGGUCUAAUACCGGAUAUGACCUGUUACCGCAUGGUGGCGGGUGGAAAGAUUUAUUGGUUUUGGAUGGACUCGCGGCCUAUCAGCUUGUUGGUGGGGUAAUGGCCUACCAAGGCGACGACGGGUAGCCGGCCUGAGAGGGUGACCGGCCACACUGGGACUGAGACACGGCCCAGACUCCUACGGGAGGCAGCAGUGGGGAAUAUUGCACAAUGGGCGCAAGCCUGAUGCAGCGACGCCGCGUGAGGGAUGACGGCCUUCGGGUUGUAAACCUCUUUCAGCAGGGAAGAAGCGGAAGUGACGGUACCUGCAGAAGAAGCGCCGGCUAACUACGUGCCAGCAGCCGCGGUAAUACGUAGGGCGCAAGCGUUGUCCGGAAUUAUUGGGCGUAAAGAGCUCGUAGGCGGUUUGUCGCGUCUGCUGUGAAAGCCCGGGGCUCAACCCCGGGUCUGCAGUGGGUACGGGCAGACUUGAGUGCAGUAGGGGAGACUGGAAUUCCUGGUGUAGCGGUGAAAUGCGCAGAUAUCAGGAGGAACACCGAUGGCGAAGGCAGGUCUCUGGGCUGUAACUGACGCUGAGGAGCGAAAGCAUGGGGAGCGAACAGGAUUAGAUACCCUGGUAGUCCAUGCCGUAAACGUUGGGCACUAGGUGUGGGGGGACAUUCCACGUUUUCCGCGCCGUAGCUAACGCAUUAAGUGCCCCGCCUGGGGGAGUACGGCCGCAAGGCUAAAACUCAAAGGAAUUGACGGGGGCCCGCACAAGCGGCGGAGCAUGCGGAUUAAUUCGAUGCAACGCGAAGAACCUUACCAAGGCUUGACAUGGGCCCGGAUCGGGCUGGAAACAGUCUUUCCCUUCGGGGCCGGUUCACAGGUGGGUGCAUGGUUGUCGUCAGCUCGUGUCCUGAGAUGUUGGGGUUAAGUCCCGCAACGAGCGCAACCCUCGUUCUAUGUUGCCAGCGCGUGGAGGCGGGGGACUCC